rnacentral:lncRNA from 1 species
CAGCUGGCUGUCACAGAGCUGCUGGAAGUCUCCCUAUCUCUUCAAGAAGUGCCAACACAGAGGAGGCAGAGUCAUGGCAUCGCUGCUGUGCAACGCCCGCAUCCAGCUCACGGAAACGCUGGAGAAGAUGCAGCAAGGGACGCUGAUGAGGAAAGUCAAAUCCAAGAGCUGGAAGAAGCAGAGGUACUUCAAGCUGCAGGAUGACUGCAUGACCAUCUGGUACCAAUCCAAGAGGACGGGCAAAACUGAGUCUGCCUGUGAGUACCAGCUGUGGUGUGUCGUCCGUGCGGGUCGUUAGUAGGAUUCAGAAUGAACAGCGGGGUGAAAGUGUGGAGAUUCCUGAAACUGUGCUUGCAGAGAGUACUGGGAUUCAAGGGAGGCUGUGUUUGUGUCAGGAUCUUCUCAUCCUGACACAUCAUCAGGAUAUUCUAUCAUGAAUAGGAGGAUGGGUAGUUCAGUGGGUGAGUGGGUGGAUGGGUGGGUGAAUGAAUGGAUGGAUGGAUGAAUAGCUGCAUGGAUGGAUAGAUG